GACGAACGCUGGCGGCGUGCCUAAUACAUGCAAGUUGAGCGCUGAAGGUUGGUACUUGUCCCCACUGGAUGAGCAGCGAACGGGUGAGUAACGCGUGGGGAAUCUGCCUUUGAGCGGGGGACAACAUUUGGAAACGAAUGCUAAUACCGCAUAAAAACUUUAAACACAAGUUUUAAGUUUGAAAGAUGCAAUUGCAUCACUCAAAGAUGAUCCCGCGUUGUAUUAGCUAGUUGGUGAGGUAAAGGCUCACCAAGGCGAUGAUACAUAGCCGACCUGAGAGGGUGAUCGGCCACAUUGGGACUGAGACACGGCCCAAACUCCUACGGGAGGCAGCAGUAGGGAAUCUUCGGCAAUGGACGAAAGUCUGACCGAGCAACGCCGCGUGAGUGAAGAAGGGUGUCGGAUCGUAAAACUCUGUUGGUAGAGAAGAACGUUGGUGAGAGUGGAAAGCUCAUCAAGUGACGGUAACUACCCAGAAAGGGACGGCUAACUACGUG
rnacentral:rRNA from 1 species